rnacentral:rRNA from 1 species
GACGAACGCUGGCGGCGUGCCUAAUACAUGCAAGUAGAACGCUGAAGGAGGAGCUUGCUCUUCUGGAUGAGUUGCGAACGGGUGAGUAACGCGUAGGUAACCUGCCUGGUAGCGGGGGAUAACUAUUGGAAACGAUAGCUAAUACCGCAUAACAGUAGAUGUUGCAUGACAUUUGCUUAAAAGGUGCAAUUGCACCACUACCAGAUGGACCUGCGUUGUAUUAGCUAGUUGGUGGGGUAACGGCUCACCAAGGCGACGAUACAUAGCCGACCUGAGAGGGUGAUCGGCCACACUGGGACUGAGACACGGCCCAGACUCCUACGGGAGGCAGCAGUAGGGAAUCUUCGGCAAUGGACGGAAGUCUGACCGAGCAACGCCGCGUGAGUGAAGAAGGGUUUCGGACCGUAAAGCUCUGUUGUAAGAGAAGAACGAGUGUGAGAGUGGAAAGUUCACACUGUGACGGUAUCUUACCAGAAAGGGACGGCUAACUACGUG